rnacentral:misc_RNA from 1 species
AACCUAGCACACCUGCGGUGUGUACCUGCGGAAGGAUCAUUAACGAAUAUCUAUGGCGUUGGUUGUAGCUGGCUCCUAGGAGCAUCUGUGCACACCCGUCAUUCAUAUCAUCUUUCCACCUGUGAACUAUGUGUAGGCUUGGAUACCUCUCGCUUUGGUGACAAGGCGGAUGCAAGGAUUGCUGCGUCGACAAGGCCAGCUCUCUUUGAAUUUCCAGGUCUAUGUCUUUUUACACACUCC